CCAAACAAUAUGAUCUUGUCAAAGCCCGAUUUCAUCUGAUCACUGAAGCUAAGAAGAUUUGGGCCUGGUUAGUAACUGGAUGGGAGACUGCAGGGAAUACAAGAUGCCUGGC
rnacentral:rRNA from 1 species